rnacentral:rRNA from 1 species
UACAGAGGUCCCAAGCGUUGUUCGGAUUCACUGGGCGUAAAGGGUGCGCAGGUGGCUGGAAAAGUUUGAUGUGAAAUCUCCGGGCUUAACCCGGAAAUGGCAUUGAAUACUCUUCAGCUGGAAGUUUGGAGGGGGGACUGGAAUUCUUGGUGUAGCAGUGAAAUGCGUAGAUAUCAAGAGGAACACCAGUGGCGAAGGCGAGUCCCUGGACAACACCUGACACUGAGGCACGAAAGCUAGGGGAGCAAACAGG